rnacentral:rRNA from 1 species
UACGAAGGGAGCUAGCGUUGUUCGGAAUUACUGGGCGUAAAGGGCGCGUAGGCGGCUCUGUAAGUCAGAUGUGAAAGCCCUGGGCUUAACCUGGGAACUGCAUUUGAUACUGCAAGGCUAGAGAUCGAGAGAGGAAAGUGGAAUUACGAGUGUAGAAGUGAAAUUCGUAGAUAUUCGGAAGAACACCAGUGGCGAAGGCGACUACCUGGUCUGGCAUUGACGCUCAUGUGCGAAAGCGUGGGGAGCAAACAGG